UGAUGCAAGGGAGAUUUGGCAGGAGGGCAUCCCCUUACUCCCUCACUGCUCUGUGUGCAUCUCCCCAAAGCUGUGCUCUCAGUUAAGAAGACAGCCUCCCCAGUAGAGGAGGACCAUUCUUUGGUCAAAGGUAAAACAACAAAACAUCUGAAGGUUUUAGGAAAGUCUCACACAAGGAAAAUCUAACUCAUCUAAAAGGAAGGUCCUGUGCAAAAUACUGCAGUACUUCUAU
rnacentral:sRNA from 1 species